rnacentral:rRNA from 1 species
GUCUAUGGCCAUACCACCCUGAACACGCCAGAUCUCAUCUGAUCUCGGAAGAAAUGGACAUACAAGAUUUGAGUUUAAGUUCAAUAUGUGGCAACAGAGU